GGUGACCUGCGGAAGGAUCAUUACCGAGUGCGGGUCCUUUGGGCCCAACCUCCCAUCCGUGUCUAUUAUACCCUGUUGCUUCGGCGGGCCCGCCGCUUGUCGGCCGCCGGGGGGGCGCCUUUGCCCCCCGGGCCCGUGCCCGCCGGAGACCCCAACACGAACACUGUCUGAAAGCGUGCAGUCUGAGUUGAUUGAAUGCAAUCAGUUAAAACUUUCAACAAUGGAUCUCUUGGUUCCGGCAUCGAUGAAGAACGCAGCGAAAUGCGAUAACUAAUGUGAAUUGCAGAAUUCAGUGAAUCAUCGAGUCUUUGAACGCACAUUGCGCCCCCUGGUAUUCCGGGGGGCAUGCCUGUCCGAGCGUCAUUGCUGCCCUCAAGCCCGGCUUGUGUGUUGGGUCGCCGUCCCCCUCUCCGGGGGGACGGGCCCGAAAGGCAGCGGCGGCACCGCGUCCGAUCCUCGAGCGUAUGGGGCUUUGUCACAUGCUCUGUAGGAUUGGCCGGCGCCUGCCGACGUUUUCCAACCAUUUUUUCCAGGUUGACCUCGGAUCAGGUAGGGAUACCCGCUGAACUUAAGCAUAUCAAUAAGCGGAGGAAAAGAAACCAACCGGGAUUGCCUCAGUAACGGCGAGUGAAGCGGCAAGAGCUCAAAUUUGAAAGCUGGCUCCUUCGGAGUCCGCAUUGUAAUUUGCAGAGGAUGCUUUGGGUGCGGCCCCCGUCUAAGUGCCCUGGAACGGGCCGUCAGAGAGGGUGAGAAUCCCGUCUUGGGCGGGGUGUCCGUGCCCGU
rnacentral:rRNA from 1 species